AGAGUUUGAUCCUGGCUCAGGACGAACGCUGGCGGCGCGCUUAACACAUGCAAGUCGAACGGGGUACCCUUGAACGGCGGCUUCGGCCAACGGAUAGGAAUACCUAGUGGCGGACGGGUGCGUAACACGUGAGUAACCUGCCCUUGGGAGGGGGAUAACAUACCGAAGGGUAUGCUAAUACCGCAUAACAUAUUUUCUUCGCAUGGGAGGAAAUAUCAAAGAUUUAUCGCCCAAGGAUGGACUCGCGGCCGAUUAGCUAGUUGGUGAGGUAAUGGCUCACCAAGGCGACGAUCGGUAGCCGGACUGAGAGGUUGACCGGCCACAUUGGGACUGAGACUACGGCCCAGACUCCUACGGGAGGCAGCAGUGGGGAAUAUUGCGCAAUGGGGGAAACCCUGACGCAGCGACGCCGCGUGAAGGAAGAAGGUUUUCGGAUCGUAAACUUUUGUCUUUGGGGACGAGAACGGACGGUUACCCAAAGGAGGAAGCCACGGCUAACUACGUGCCAGCAGCCGCGGU
rnacentral:rRNA from 1 species